GUUGAAAGCUUAUCCCGCUUAUUAAAACAGUAUCGCUUGUAGAUCUCAUUGACUUCUCCGAUGCAGUGUUUCUCCAUUUUAGCCAUUACCACUCGCCAAUUAUUUGAAUCCUUGCCCUCGGUGUAGCUAAAUGUUUUGAUAACUUUCAAAGCUUCAUUGCUGAUUGUGUGAUUGAACAUAGCAAGCUGAUAUUGAGGGCUUUCUUGAUCUAGCCUAGAAAUAACAAAAUAGUUGUUGUACUUUUCCUUCCAAAGCUUCCAAUUCUUGGCUACUCCUCUGCUGGGCUGCAAAGCAAGAGGUUGAGGCGGUGAAAUUUGAUGAAACAUUGGAGACUGGUUCGUUGAAGGUUGAGCAACUGUAGAAGAGCUUCCACCGGUUCCACUAUGGCCUUCCUCAUCGCUCAUGUCGCUGACAGUUUAAUUCGUCGACGACCAAGAGAAACUAGACCAAUUUUCUGCUCGCUGACACCGUGUAAUAUUAUGAAGGACACAAACGGAGUAAAAUGAAAUACACUUUGCUCGAACUCGACACGAUUACAACUGAACUUCAAGCUAUAACAGAAUACUAAAUAAACUAAAGCACGGUGGGAACAGGUCCCUAGAGGCAUGUGCUAAUGCAUAUUGUAACAACAUUAUAAGGAUUUUAUCAUCCGCAUAUUGUCAAUCACAAUUUUCCAUCCGCAUUUUGUCAUCCGCAUUUUUCCAUCUGCAUUUUGUCAUCCGCAUUUUAUCAUGUGCAUUUUUCAUCCGCCAUCCACCGCCAUCCAGUCUGCACAGAGACCCAACAAUUCCCCACCCCUGGAACUCGUAUCUACCUCAACUAUGUCUGUACAGUAUGUGCAAUAAAUAGGGUGGCAAUGUUGGUUGCUGUACAAUAACAAAAACAGACAUUUUGUCAAGAGCGCAACGCUUUUCUAGAGUUUAUUGAACGAAGAAUACUAUGUAGAGCAAUAUAUAUGGAGUGCGCAGUUAUUUUCCCUUUCACCUUUCGGGCUAAACAAAAGACAAGAAUUUCAUUCAAAAAAUUGCAUCUGCUUUACUUAAUUUUAGCAGACUUUGGGCAAUGGGUUGUGAGUUUCCUAAGGUGCAUUUUUAACACUGAAUUUUUUUUUUAACUAGUUGUUGUGUAUGCACUGACUAAAUAUUGUCAUGCCAAGGAGGUGUCAUAUCACAAAGUCACACAAUAGUUAUGCAAAUUUAGCUCAUAGAAUCCCUCUUCAGUUAUAUGAAAUGGGUUAGAACAUAAACAAGUCUGCAACUAUAGUUUUGGGCGAGCAAGAAGAUUUUCAUGCUCUCAAAUUCAAUGUGAGCUUUAUAAUUUUGCUCACAGACUAAAAUUUCGAGCUUGUUCUUUGAGGGUCUCCUAUACCCCUUUGUGAAACUCAGUCGCGUAAAAAUAUUUGGCUUUUUCACGUGUCACGAAUAAUAUCCAACAUUAGUUCACACUCAUGCGAAAUUGGAGACGAUUCCGUGUUAAAUAAAAAUAAAAAAACAAAUUCAAGAAUUAAUAUUUCAACUUCUUCCUACCUGUUUAUAAAGCUUUUUUUUUUUCCUCCUAGUUUGGCUCUUCAAUUGAGUAUUACAAUACAAUACAGUAACUUUACUUAUAUAGUGAGUAUAUACAAAGCUCUAUAUCGCAUUACAGCCAUGAAAAUAACACUAAAUAUGAUAAUUUAAACUAAAAUAAAGUAUUCAUCUAAAUCACAAAACAGGUCUGUCAGACCUCUCCUUGUUUUGCAAAGACAUAGAUGGUUGUCUUAAUUCCACACUGCCAAGUUAAGUUCGAGUUGAACUUUUAGUUGCACAACUUCCAAAGGAGUCACAUUUCAGUUUUGACUCCUAAUUCACGCAACCCUUUACUGGUCUUUGCUGCUAGUCCUUUCCAGAAGAAGAGGGCCUGAUUGGUAUAUAUUCAUGUUCCUUUAGUGCAUUUCUGCAUUCCUCAGUAGAAUUUCGAACAGAUGUACAUUAGACAGUAUACUCAGUACACUUGCAAGGAAUAAUACCUGUACCUAUGAGUUAUAGAGAUUGGAGUUGCAGUAGCCUGAUGGUUAGUGCCCUGUCUAGACACUGGAUUGAUCAGUCCAGGUUCAGGUCCUGGCCAAGGCACUGCAUUGUGUUCUUAGGCAAGGCACUAGUGCUUUUCCUCACCCAGAUGAAUAAAUAGUAACAAUGAUUACAAUGGUGGGGAUUAACCUUGCAAUGGUUUCUUAUCGCUAAGGCAUGACUAAUUGGGAUAAGCUCCAAAUUUGCCUUAACAGAGAUACCAAAGUCUCUGAAGCACCAUAUUCACAUAAGGUUGCUGGCUGAUAAAACAUCUUUUAACACCAAAAUUUGAUUUCUAGGGUUGUCCUGGGCAUAAGCGACAAUAGAUGACUAAUGUCUUAUUUGUUUAGAAACCAUUAAUGGUCUAUUUUAGGACUUUCAUUGAUCCAUGUGAAGUCCGUUUAAUGUCAAAACCCCAGCACAGCUGUUCCAAAACAAUUCAUACAUUUUCAAAACUGUAAAAUUGUUGGACAUUCAUCACUCAAAAACAAAAUGGUUCACAAAUUGGGUUUACUUCAACUCUUCAUUCAUGGGACACGGUUAAAUAAACAAUAUUUGUUCACGUGGACAUAAUAAAUCUUGCCAUCUUUUAACUCGAAUCAAAAAAAAAGAAAAAUUUCAAACCACUAUUCAUGAGAACAUAAAUAGCCCAGUCAUGCUUCACUUAAAAAGUAUAGAGGACCCUCUUCUUUUGUUCGCAUAUUUGGUUCGUGCAGAGUAGGUGUCAAAUCAAAGUCACACAACAGUCAUCCUUUCUGGCCUUGAGAAAAUGUUAGGGUCAGGUACGCAUAUACAUACGAGAAUUGCCUCUUUAUACAAGGGGACGUGUAACAAAAUCUAUGUAUGCAAGUGAAUAUAUGAAAUAUAUUAAAUUUGACCUCCAGAGAAAGAUGUAAAGACAUCAAUUAUCAUGGCAGUUUUGUACAUAGCUUAAGCAGUUGUAAAAAUAAGACCUGAAAAAUUCAGGCUUAAGGAGGAUUUGUACAAGCCAAAAUUUAAGCAUGUUCUUUUGUUUACAUAUUGAGUUUAUGCUGAGUUAUGGUAUUGGUGGGCGUUGAUUCUGAGAAGGUGUCAUCAAAAAGUGACCUAACAGUAAUGCUAAUGAGUCUCAUAAAACUCUUUUCUAGUAAGAAGAAGCACGUUGGAGAAUAAACAAGUUUACAACUAUAGUUUGCUUUGGUUGCUUGCUUUUUAAGGCCACUGUGUUAUCAAGGAUAGGUGUAUCUUCAUCUUUCACGGGCCUCCCUGUAAACCACUUUGGUAACGGAAGUUUCCUGGCUUCAUGUACAUGCACGCACCCGACUCACUAAGGGAACGCAAAUCAAUUUAUGCACCUGUUGUGGCCGGUUGUUACUAUCGCGGGUG